AAGAAUGCAAAUUAAAUAAGAAAAGCCCUCUGCCCUUCAGGAGCUUUUGGUGAAGAUCUCUUUUUUAAAAAGCUGCAAGACUGCUGCCCGAAGUGGGACACACAACCUAAAUAAGGGCGAGAACCGGCAAGGACGGCCCAGCCACGUGGAACCGCCUCGCAACUCUGGCGAGCAACUUGAGAUCUUCUAGAGACCCAGGAGUAUGUUGCUUCUACCUCAGACUGGGGAGAGGGGAGCUCCCCAAAACGAUGGAGGAGAUGAAGAUAUCAACCAGCCAAAUUCCUGUUCACGACCAGCCUGUUGUGAGCUCUCCUGGGGGAUCAGCAGUGGCUGAGAGGUUGGAUGUGUGAUGGAGUAGGGUGGGUUUAUGGAGAGUGUUUGUUCCAGACAUGACACAGGGGAAGGGCUCACAGGGUUCAACCUGAUGAGCAGGUGCAAAAGAUAAGGCCCCUAUUAAGGCUAAUUUGCUGAGAUUUUCAUUUUAGCAAAAACAAAUGAUCAGUUUUUUGGAUGUCUCAAAUAUGUUUGAAAUUUAUGUGUAUUCUCUAUGGUUGGGCAUGAAUUUAUGAAUGUAUGUGUGUAUAAAUAAAUUUAAGUGUGUCCUUCAAA